UUUUUUUUUUUUUUGCUUUAGUUUAAAAAAUAUUUUAUUCAUAAAAUGGCUAAACAUUGGUGCCUAGACAAAAUAUCUUGAGGCUAGAUAAUUGAGUCCAUGAAUACAAAACUCAGAAUGUUUUUGUUCUUCCUUCAAUAUUGACAACUAAAAUAACAACAGAAAGUAAGAUGAUACCCAGACUGUGUGCUAGGAGGUCUCAGCUACUUGCCUUUGGAUGUGUAAGACCUAGAGAAGGUCUCUAACACUUUGCAGGGUCACUUCCUACAUUGCGAUCAUUUAAUGAGCAAAAGGCAUGUUAACUUCCCUUGAAAUUCAGGAAUUUUCAAAGAUUCCUGAAUAUUCCAUCCAGAAUCCAUUCUCCCAAAAUACAGCUGUUUUUCCAAUAAGGUAGCAUCUUUUUAUUUUGAGUUUAAAGAUGGACUUUGAAAAAGUCAGCCUACAUAAACAGGCUCUUUCCUUUGGGUUUUUUUUUUUUUCUUUUUCCUUCUUUAAUCUGCUUGGAUACCUUUUUAUGCUCAUUUUGAGAACAUGAGAAUUGUCACACUAGGUCAGAUGUGCCAUUCCGGUACCUGACUGAUUUGCCAAGAGCAGUUGUUUAAGAAAAACUGCAGAUAAGCAAAGCAGAUAUGCAAUACAACCCUGGAAGGAUGAGGAGUCCAAGAGAGAUGGUUGAUAUUAAAGGACCACCACCUUGUAGAUCCAGAGCAGUCCACCCCAAUAAGAAGGAAUUGAGACAAAAAUGCCAGGAGGCAUCUUUUCUGCUCUUUAGCCUAUGCACUUACACAAUAGUGUUCCUCUGGACAAAGGAGGGCAAAAAUUGCUGUCCACUAAGUGAGCAAUCAACUCCGAAACCAAAGAUGGUCACACAGAAAUGCACUGUUGCUGCCAUGGAAGGCAACUGAGCAUCCACAAGAGAGAACGACAAUUUAGAGUAGCUCUAUUGACUUGAUACAAGUAUUUUUCACCUCCAGCAGUUUCUGCAAGGCCAGCCUUCACACACGUGCUUUUUUCUGAAGUUGAAGGAAUAAUUAUUCCAAGUAACCAUAAAACUUUGAUUCUCCAAAACAUUAUUGAUUUAAAAGAAUUCUGCAGGAGGUGUAGGAAUACAGAAACUCUCUUCAUUCUCACUCAAGUAGGAAGGUAAACCCUAAUUUGGAAACAAUAUAUAUGAUAAACAUACGUCUGACAAAAACCAGAUUUUAUGUUUUAACACUGAACCUCUAACUUUAGUAGCGCAAAGAAAGUAAAGAAUUUACAUUACUGUCUAUGACGUUAAAUAUAUUUAAAUCUCUCUUUGCUACCAGUUGUGAAUUUUCCUAAUGACAUACAGGUCACUACCAAACACUGUCUGAUAAAGGUAGUACUAAGAUAAUUUCUUUUUGGUAUGGAAGAGAUCAUAACAGUCAUCCCAGC
rnacentral:lncRNA from 1 species